CAGAGCUGCAAAUGUGUGGAACACGCGUCCCUGCUUCAUAAGAAAUACCACCGCAUCUCCAACUACAUUUAAAUUUAUUCCAGUCAUUUGUAAUUAGUAUACUCUAUAGAUCUAUUGCAGUAGCAAACUUGUAAAAUAAAAUAAACACACAAACACACACACACACACACACAAAUUGGACUUAAAUGCCAAUUACAGUGGGUCCUUUGUUAGAUUACAACAUAAUAUAUACAUCACCAUUCACCUGAUUCGGCAGCAUCAAAAUACCAAGUUCAUCGCCAUAUUCCUCUAAUUAGUGAUACCAAUUUCGUAUCAAAUAAAACAGAAAGCUUGUGUGACUUAGUGAAUUUAUCUUUUGUGCUCCAGUCCUUUUCGCCAAGCGAUAAAGACACAAAAUCUCCAAGGUGUAGCAAAACAAACACCAUGUUUUCUAAGUCCUGUUUUUAGCUCAAAUUAAUUGAUUUUCACAAAUAUGAAAACUGAUUUUCAUACAAUUGUGUUCUCGUCUUCUCGUUUCUCUUAUGAGUUUGAGCAUGGCCAGUUCAAAAGAAUUCAAUUAAAUUUUUACAUGACUUCUUUUCGUGGCAUCUCGUGCAUCAAAGAUCAAGCUCGAUGUUGCCAUCUUUGAAUUCAAU
rnacentral:lncRNA from 1 species